rnacentral:rRNA from 1 species
CGGACGGGUGAGUAAUGUCUGGGAAACUGCCUGAUGGAGGGGGGUAACUACUGGAAACGGUAGCUAAUACCGCAUAACGUCGCAAGACCAAAGAGGGGACCUUAGGGCCUCUUGCCAUCGGAUGUGCCCAGAUGGGAUUAGCUAGUAGGUGGGGUAACGGCUCACCUAGGCGACGAUCCCUAGCUGGUCUGAGAGGAUGACCAGCCACACUGGAACUGAGACACGGUCCAG